rnacentral:rRNA from 1 species
GACGAACCGAGCGAACGUUGUUCGGAAUCACUGGGCUUAAAGGGCGCGUAGGCGGGCUGCCAAGUUUGGGGUGAAAUCCUCCGGCUCAACCGGGGAACUGCCUCAGAUACUGACGGCCUCGAGGGAGGUAGGGGCGUGCGGAACUGUAGGUGGAGCGGUGAAAUGCGUUGAUAUCUGCAGGAACACCGGUGGCGAAAGCGGCGCGCUGGACCUCUUCUGACGCUGAGGCGCGAAAGCUAGGGGAGCAAACGGG